rnacentral:rRNA from 1 species
CGAAAGCCUGACGGAGCGACGCCGCGUGCGGGAUGAAGGCCUUCGGGUUGUAAACCGCUGUCAGAGGGUAGGAAAGUUUGACCGAACCUCAGAGGAAGUACGGACUAAGUUCGUGCCAGCAGCCGCGGUAACACGAACCGUACAAACGUUAUUCGGAAUCACUGGGCUUAAAGCGUUCGUAGGCGGCUGUGUAAGUGAGGUGUGAAAGCCCUCGGCUCAACCGAGGAAUUGCGCUUCAUACUGCAUAGCUAGAGGAAGUCAGAGGUGAGCGGAACUCACGGUGGAGCGGUGAAAUGCGUUGAUAUCGUGAGGAACACCGGUGGCGAAAGCGGCUCACUGGGGCUUUACUGACGCUGAUGAACGAAAGCUAGGAGAGC